CUGCAGGUGUGCUUAGUAACAUGGAUUGCAGGUCUGACAGACCUAAUGCACCUUCCAUUUAUUAGGCUGGCCUUUGGCAAAGUUGGUCAAAUCUCUUGUGUUUUCAAGUUGUGCAGAACCUGUGGUGAAUGACCCCAGCUUGAGCCUGUUGAAAUGUCUGAGGAUUCAGAAGUGCUGAGUUAACUUUGAAAGGACUGGAAAAUAUCGGUGCACUUCUUAAUUUUGACCAGAAGAGGAAGUGGAAGUACCAUCAUGAGAAAUACCAUUCCUGUGAUAGUUUUCAUCUUGCUGACAGCGCAGUGCACAGUGUUGUGCAAUUCUAGAAUUUUAGUGAAGCUUUGUGUAAAAAGGUAUUCUAAGCUUUCAAAGUAUGGAUAAUUUUUUGUAUACCAUUUUCAGUAAUACUUAGACCCAAACUGAAAGAGGAAAGGAGACCACAAAAACUAAUAUUUAAAGGAGAUCAUUAAAGUAAAUAAUUUUUUGUCCUCUGUAAAAAUCCUGUUAUAGGAACCAAAACACUUGCUGGAUCAAUUCAAAUGGGUAUGCUUGACACUUAAAUUGGGUUUUUAAGUAAUCAGGGAAUCAGGUGACCCAUUCUCUGUGAAUGUCCAUAAGAUUUUUUUAUCCAUGUAGGGACUUCUGAAAUUCCCAGUUCCACUCAGGUAAUUAAUAUCUAGCAUAUUGCUUUUCCAGGCUGUCAGAAAGUGCUUUGUCUCUGUGCAAAACAUAACAUUCACCAGAUUUUUAAAUAAAACUUUUAAUUAUUUUCAUCAGUUUUUUUUUUACUGAUAAAACUGGAAAAAUUUACCCUAAACCUGUUUUACAGCCAGAUCAUCAAACAGAUAUUUCAGGUUUUUUUAAAUUGGAUAUUUUAUCUUAGUCUCCAGUCCAAUUUCCUUAUCAGCCCUACUAAUCUUGGAAAGCAAACAAAUAUGUGAAAACUAUAAGCAUAAAAUUGGGAUCUGUCUGAAUAUUAAUAAGUCUUGUCUAAUACUGAUAAUGCAUCAUGAAGUAUUGUAGUAAUAAGAAAUAUAUAAUAUGUCUGAAGCUCAGGGC
ensembl:lncRNA